CCUACGGGAGGCAGCAGUAAGGAAUAUUGGUCAAUGGGCGCAAGCCUGAACCAGCCAUGCCGCGUGCAGGAAGACGGCCCUAUGGGUUGUAAACUGCUUUUGAACAAGAGAAAACCUCGGUACGUGUACCGAGCUGAUAGUAUUGUUAGAAUAAGCAUCGGCUAACUUCGUGCCAGCAGCCGCGGUAAGACGAAGGAUGCAAGCGUUAUCCGGAUUCAUUGGGUUUAAAGGGUGCGUAGGCGGCCUGAUAAGUCAGUGGUGAAAUCUCUCAGCUUAACUGAGAAACUGCCAUUGAUACUGUCGGGCUUGAGUACAGAUGAUGUGGGCGGAAUAUGACAUGUAGUGGUGAAAUACUUAGAUAUGUCAUAGAACACCGAUUGCGAAGGCAGCUCACAAAACUGUAACUGACGCUGAGGCACGAAAGUGCGGGGAUCAAACAGGAUUAGAUACCCUGGUAGUCCGCACCGUAAACGAUGAUUACUCGUUGUUGGCAAUAUGACCGUCAGCGACCAAGCGAAAGCGAUAAGAAUCCACCUGGGAGUACGCCGCAACGGUGAAACUCAAAGGAAUUGACGGCGNGAGAGNGCGACGGACGACACGAGGGAGGAGG
rnacentral:rRNA from 1 species